ACUCAUGUUUAACUAUAAAUUUAGACUCAGAACAAGAAUUUUAUAUUGACCCAUUGGCAUAUGAACUUUCAUUCAAUGUCACAGGUGCAACAUUAGCAGCCAGAAGCUGAGAUGCUGAAGAGUUUAAACUACCUGGUGAGCUGUGAAUGGAGAAACAUGACACACCAGAAAGUGCAACUGGAUUUCAAGAAAGCAAAAGUAACUACAUUUCCCUUGAAAAGGGGACUGAAGCCUUGCAGUCUGUUACGAGAGCAGAGAAAGUUGUUCUUCCCUGAAGAAAGACACUCCACAGAAAAAUCAAGAAGUCCAAAUAUUUCCAAGUGAGCACCAACUGGCAUGCCAUCUCUUGACAAUAUUGUUUCCUGAGAGUAAACCAUAAACAGCUAUACACCUGGGUACUAUAUUUUAGUAGAACAACCACAACAAAAAGACAAAAUCUGUGUUCCCUUUUGGUAUUUUGCUACCAGCUUCCACACUCAUCUAUGUAAUUGUCUGUGUUUUCCAAUAUCCUACAUAUAUUUUCUUCUGAGCAGACCUGCAGUGCCACUAAGGUUCUCAUUCAGACCAAUUUAUUAUGUAGGUCCUACAAGAAGUUAGCCAACUAAAACUGGUGUCUUACUCCAUUUUUGGAAAUAUCAACAUACAAAUUACAGUACAGGAAAAAGCCAUCAAUGCCUAUGAGUACAUCUCACUUCUAACACCACAUUAAAUCACACUUGAGAGAAUCACAGGACAGGCAGUAUCUCUUUUCACCUAUUUUGAGAAGCACUUUCAUCCAAUUAGGUGCUACAGUAAUAAAUUCUUAUUUUCAUUAUUAAAGAAGCA
rnacentral:lncRNA from 1 species